rnacentral:misc_RNA from 1 species
CAAAAUGAUUCGGCGUGCCUUUGCAUCUCCCCUGAAAUCCCAUGGUCUCACAUAUUUGCAACAUUGCCUUUUUCAAGGCCGCAUGAACAAAAGUCAUCCACUUUAUGUGUUCCAUGUGUGCUGAAAACACCCUUGGCUUAUUCCUCCUUUCUGUUAGUGAGAUUAUUGUGCCAAAUUUGCUCAGUAAAUUGGCAUUGCAAUUUCAGAACGGUGUAAAGGAACCUAGUAAAUUCCUUCCUAAGGGUAAUCAAUUGCUUAUUAAUUUGGAGACAAUAUCAAUGCCAAAGUUGAAGGAAAAAGUUCAAAGGUGGUAGUGAAGGUAGAGAAGGAAGAGACGGAGUAUUUGCCUAAUUUAAUUUAAAGGAAAGAAGAAUCACGUUCAAAAGAAUGAAGAUAUGCAGGAAGAAUGGAGUAACAAACGGUCUGCAGUUUAUGCAGAUGAAAUCUAGCCAGAAGAGAUGUUUGAUAAAGUGUUAGUAUAUACUAGGGAAGAAUGUGGACCUCCUGCAU